CGCACGGGUGGGUAACACGUAUCCAACCUGCCGUCUACUCUUGGACAGCCUUCUGAAAGGAAGAUUAAUACAAGAUGGCAUCAUGAGUCCGCAUGUUCACAUGAUUAAAGGUAUUCCGGUAGACGAUGGGGAUGCGUUCCAUUAGAUAGUAGGCGGGGUAACGGCCCACCUAGUCUUCGAUGGAUAGGGGUUCUGAGAGGAAGGUCCCCCACAUUGGAACUGAGACACGGUCCAA
rnacentral:rRNA from 1 species